rnacentral:rRNA from 1 species
GACGAACGCUGGCGGCGUGCUUAACACAUGCAAGUCGAACGCUGAAGCUCAGCUUUUGUUGGGUGGAUGAGUGGCGAACGGGUGAGUAACACGUGAGUAACCUGCCCCCUUCUUUGGGAUAACGCCCGGAAACGGGUGCUAAUACUGGAUAUUCACUGGUCUUCGCAUGGGGGUUGGUGGAAAGGGUUUUUCUGGUGGGGGAUGGGCUCGCGGCCUAUCAGCUUGUUGGUGGGGUGAUGGCCUACCAAGGCUUUGACGGGUAGCCGGCCUGAGAGCGUGACCGGUCACAUUGGGACUGAGAUACGGCCCAGACUCCUACGGGAGGCAGCAGUGGGGAAUAUUGCACAAUGGGCGCAAGCCUGAUGCAGCGACGCCGCGUGAGGGAUGGAGGCCUUCGGGUUGUGAACCUCUUUCGCUCAUGGUCAAGCCGCAACAAUGGUUGUGGUGAGGGUAGUGGGUAAAGAAGCGCCGGCUAACUACGUG